UACAGAGGGUGCGAGCGUUAAUCGGAUUUACUGGGCGUAAAGCGCGCGUAGGUGGUUAAUUAAGUCAAAUGUGAAAUCCCCGAGCUUAACUUGGGAAUUGCAUUCGAUACUGGUUAGCCAGAGUAUGGGAGAGGAUGGUAGAAUUCCAGGUGUAGCGGUGAAAUGCGUAGAGAUCUGGAGGAAUACCGGUGGCGAAGGCAGCCAUCUGGCCUAAUACUGACACUGAGGUGCGAAAGCAUGGGGAGCAAACAGG
rnacentral:rRNA from 1 species